rnacentral:lncRNA from 10 species
GCCUUCCCUGAAACGAAGUAACCUGAACUGAGACUGAUGAGGCAGAUUCUGGGUUUGAGAACUGCCUGCGGGUACUGCCUCUGAAAAGAGACAUGUAUUCCUUCUUAAACGACUCAUCUUUCUAUCUUUAUCAAGUGAUAUUUCCUAGCAUGAUUAUGAGAAUAUUAGUGCUCAGUAAAUACAAACUCUUCAUUCUAACUAUUACUUCCUAGACUUGUAACUACACUGGGAUUUCCAAAAUAAUUUCCUGGUUGAUUUCCCUUCCAUCUAUAGCUAUACAAGUCUUGUUUUUGUUGGGUGGCUUCACUCUGUGCAUCCCCUUCCAUUCCUGAAGGAAGAAUCUUCACUCCCAUCAGACAGUACUCCUCUCCCUGCCUGCAUCUUUCAUCCUUCGUUUCCCUUACAUAUCGUUUCAUUAUAUUUUCUCUACGCCUCCUACUGUCUUAAUUAACCAAAACUUGCCCUUUUUAAUGAGUGUUACUAUCUCAUACACAUAGCUCCAAUCUUUAAUUUUUAAGGUUCAUGUAGGUGUGUAAAACAUUUUUUUAUUAUUAUUA